rnacentral:rRNA from 1 species
GACGAACGCUGGCGGCGUGCCUAAUACAUGCAAGUCGAACGAGUGGCGGACGGGUGAGUAAUGUCUGGGAAACUGCCUGAUGGAGGGGGAUAACUACUGGAAACGGUAGCUAAUACCGCAUACCAUCAGAUGUUCCCAUGGGGGAUUAGCUUGUUGGUGGGGUAGCGGCUUACCAAGGCGACGAUCCCUAGCUGGUCUGAGAGGAUGACCAGCAACACUGGAACUGAGACACGGGCCAGACUCCUACGGGAGGCAGCAGGGGGGAAUCUUGCACAAUGGGCGCAAGCCUGAUGCAGCCAUGCCGCGUGUAUGAAGAAGGCCUUCGGGUUGUAAAGUACUUUCAGCGGGGAGGCGUUACCCGAAGAAGAAGCACCGGCUAACUCCGUGCCAGCAGCCGCGGUAAUUC